AUAGAAUUAUUAUGAUGAAAAUUAGCUGUAAGUUCCCAAAAAAAACAACCUAGCUUUGCUGUUUUCAUAAAUGAUGUGCUCUAUUGAUCAAGCACUUUAUCUCUUAUUGUGGCAAGUCCACUGCUAGGAUAGUUAUCUAAUUCUAUCCAAGUUUCUGUGUAUCUAUGUACGCUACCACCCACGCAGUUGCUCAAUGAACAAGAAAUAGGUUUAUACACAAUUUAUAUGGACUUCCUGUGGCUUGGCUCUCCGACAUCAUUAGCAAAAUUCGUAUACUUCCGUCUCACGUGAAGAGGAAAAUGGCCUUCUGCUCUGUGAAGGUUUCUCUGUGAUGCUGCUGCUCUUGUUCAAGAUGGCAAGACAAAUAAGUGAAAGGACCUUAAUGAUUGAAGGACCUAGAA